rnacentral:lncRNA from 1 species
GCUCGACGACUUGGAGGAAAUGGACAAUCUUGGUGAAGCAAAAAAUACCAUCUUAUCCCAAGUAGAUAAUCGUAUAACUUCAAGUUCAAAUAAUCAGCCUCUGAUGGGCCAAGUAGAUAAUCGACGAUUUGUAGAUUGUUCUUAUUUGACCAUUACCUCUUUUUGUAAUUGAAUGGGCAAAUUAUCUUCAAGUUCUCAAUACUGUAGUAGCAAUUCUUUCGGCCAUAGUUUGACUUAAUUGGUCGAUGUGAUUUGGACGAGCUACGCUACGUAUAUGUCAUGCAGAAAGUAGUCUGUAUUUUAUGGUUUAGGCUGCACAUACAUAUCCUUUAGUAGGUUUUUGAGGAAAGCAGUUUCUCUUUUACCUCCUUAUGCUUUCUUUUCCAUUUUGUUUUGGGGAUCCAAGCUACUGAUCAUUUUCUUGUCUAUGUACUUCUACUUUUAGAUUUAUAUCUUAUGCCUUUUUGGUUGGUUUACUUGUUAUGUUUAUGUGUGCAGUAUAUAUGUAAUCAUAUUAUCUUAGCUUUAGAUGACAAUAUUAUUACUCCAGUAUGUAUCCAGAAUAUUAGUUAAUGGUGCAAAAAUAUCAACUGUAUCC